GACGAACCGUGCGAACGUUAUUCGGAAUCACUGGGCUUAAAGCGCGUGUAGGUGGAUGGGCGCAUCGAUUGCUGAAAGCCCCCGGCUCAACCGGGGAAGUGGCGUCGAGAUGGCCUGUCUCGAGGGGGGUAGGGGGAUCUGGAACUUCCGGUGGAGCGGUGAAAUGCGUUGAGAUCGGAAGGAACGCCCGUGGCGAAAGCGAGAUCCUGGACCCUUUCUGACACUGAGACGCGAAAGCUAGGGGAGCAAACGGG
rnacentral:rRNA from 1 species